UUGAAUCAGGAAAGUGAGCUCAAAACCAAGGUGAAAAGUUGGCAGUGUGACCCUUGAAGAGAAUUCAAGUUAGCCUGGGGUACCCUCUCUGUUUUCCACUCCCAAACUAGGAUUAACUUUGGAAUCUUCCAUAAAUGUAGAAAAACUGGGGGCUUUCCAAUCCUAGCUUGGGUAAGUACUAUUUCAAGAUUAAUCAUAACAAGAUGGCCUUGUGUUGUAAAAGAGAGAAAGAAAGAGAGGGGGACAUAAGGAGAUACCUAGAGACAAUGUUUAGACAGGAGAUAUUCUGCAAGAUAGCCUUGUUCAUAAAACAGAAAACUAGAUACAUGGAAUUUUCCUCAGAAAGCUAAAAGCAAUAUGCAGAUGAAGAUACAAAAACCUAAGCUGCUGGUCACUUUCUACAAAAAGACAACUCAAGGUCAGGAGGGGGUCGUGGGUUCUCUGAUGGACACUCCACCUCAAUGGUAGCAGAGCAGCAGAUCAUCCCCGCAGAGCUUUUAGCUGAGAUUUGAUAAACGGCAGCAUCACUUUGGGUACAGCUAGGAUGAAGAGAACACACAGACCUCCAGAUGGCUUGAUGAGCUCAGCUGGAGUAUUUGAAGACACCUCUACACUGCCAGAUGACACCACCAACCUUUAUGUCAAGGUUGUCUGCUACCCUGAGAGAUGGUUGGCAGAGACAAGUUCCCUGACAACAGUUCAAGGUUUUGCUAACAACUGAAACUCCUCCUCCCACGAGCAGGAACAAGGAGAGGAAGCCUCACUGGGAGUCAAAGGAUGUUUGGAAACGUUGCCUCAGUAGCAGGAUUCAAGAUGAAAAUGAGGGGUUCCUUGUUCAAGAGGGAUUAAGUUUUUAGAAUAACAGCAGAGUAUUAAAGAAAGGGCCCUUCUCUGGCUCAUCYCUGGCCAAAAACAUAGACCCAAGCCCCUAGACCAGCCCUGCUUGGUAGAUGCUCACAAAUGCUGAAACUAGGAUCUACUCGGGCCUGACUGAGACACCACCUGCUGCUUCUGAAAUUCAGUGUUCACCUUAUCCCUGAAUGUUCCUUUAAGAAUAAGGAUUUCUUUCAAUGCAGUUGUGCAAAGAGAAACUGGACCACAUAAGGUGACYGUGUUAUAGUUAAGAGUCAGCUCCUGUUCCUGAGACCASUGCUGUGGAUGGGAAGGGAAGAAGGACACACCCAGGCAUCAAGAGCUGGGCCCACGGUGAGGACCCUGUGCGUCAGCCGUGACUCCUCCCUAAGUGGCUMCUUCCUGACGGUGGCACCCCGCACGUGAAAACACUGACACGCACACACCCGUCUGACUCACACAGGCAGGUGAAAAAAAAAACUGGGGUUCAGACAUUUGGAAAAACUGUGCUGGAGUCAGAAGUUGAUUCCGAAUUUGACUGCAAUGCCUGGGCUCCCUUCGUUCCCAGCUCCAUCCAGAUGAGACUAUUCACAAUGGCCCUCCCCUUGCACAUAGGCUGAGAGCUACAUGUAAGUGUGCAUGGAGCUAUAAAAAACUAAUGUUUCUUUUUGGGGGGAGUGUGAGGGGG